UUCAGUUAUCGUUUUUGAGUUUCAUCCUCUCCGUUGUCAAGCUUUCGUGUGUUUCAAGAAAAAGCCCCUUCCUUCGUCGUUUCUUUCCUUUUGUUGUUAAUUAGGGUUUGGACCAAUGGUCUAGGGUUUGGAUUUGGUACAAUGUUCGAGCGCUCGAGGGCCAAGAAUGUCGAGAUCUAAGAGCCGAGAGUCGAUCAGAGCGGCAUACUGUCGGAAUUUAUGCAACGCGGAGACGGAAUCGGGAGGGGAAGACGGAAAAAAUCAAGAGGUUUGGACCAAUGCUCGAAGUCUUGAGGGCAAAAAGUGUGUUGGCACGUGCUACUUUGCGAGCUCUCUUUGCAAUGCUAUCGAUAAAUUUCCGGUGUUUAUGAACUGAUCCAUAAUGUAGGAGCGCUCAGAUACAGAUUCUGGAGGAAGGGGUGCUGGUGUAAAAUCAGGAGGAGAAAUUUUAUUAAAAUCAAUCAAUCUCCUUAUAUACAGCAAACAGGGGAAUUUACACAAGCUGUCAAGCUGGUCAUAACAGAAAAUUAACUACCCUGCUUUUUCAACAGCUAGAUAUUAUUCAGGCUUAUAUCGUCACAAAAAUCCAAAGCAUCCUUGUUACUGUUGGUAUACAAACGAUAAUCUUCUGUGCUACUUUUUCUUGUAAAGACCAUUGCGGGACUUCAACUGCAGUUCUUUUAUUGAUGUGUGCCCUCUGAUCAUCAAGACCCAAUUAUUUCGAAAGGUUUUCCUUGACAUCUCUAGACGGGAGUUCAUUAUCAGCAAACACUUGGCGAUUUCUUUCUGCUUCGAUCCUGCACUCCAAAAUUCACCAGUAUGCAGUAGUUGAAAAUGUGAUGUUGUGCAGCCUUGAGGAAUUAGAAGGAAAGUUAGCUUCCCCAACUGAUUUGUAAUGAAAAAGUUCAUAGGUAAAUGAUUGCAUUUGCUGCUACGUUGCAUUACUAUUAUGAUUAUGUGGAUCGUUUAUAUUAGUUUCUUUAUUUUUGCUAUUUAUGCUCUCUAUGUUUGAUGGCUUCUGAAAAGUUGGGGAGAAACCGAAUCUGAAUUAUUCAGAUUCUGCAGGGAAAAAAACACAAACAGAAUUGAUAUUUUGGAAUAUAUCAUAUCAAAAUACGAGGGGUGUUCAUCCAUUUAUUUCUGUUUCCGGUUAGUACUUUAUAAAAUUAGUGGGUUUCAGUUCAGUGUUUUUUGGUCGGAAUGGGCUUUUUUUUUUUUUCCUUCCUUUAUGGGAAAGGGUUAUUGUGACUAAGACAGACUUUCUUUGUAAAGUAGGUGGAAUGGCUGGCUUACUGGUUGGAGUUUGUGCAUUUAAUUAAUGAGCUCUAAGGGGGCAAAUUUCAGUAGAAGAAGAAUAAAUGUUGAGGAGCUAAGCUAGCUGGUGGUGCUUUUCUUCCAAGAGAGAAAAGAUAUAAACGUAGCCCGAAUAUUCUUAUAUGUGGAUGACCUCAAGUAGUCAGCCUGAGGUACUUCUCUGUCUAGAGAGAAAAGACCCAGACAUAGCUUGAAUAAUCUGUAAAGAGAGAUUACUGGAAUAUAACCCAAGUGAUCCAACAUAAAGAAAUGAAUUAGCUCAAAUGUCGGAUAUAGAGACGACUUAAGCAGGCUCAAUAGUCACACGUAGGGAGGGACAACUUAAAUCUUGUUGAAGUGGUCAGCCAUUAGUACCUUCUCUUAUCUGAAAACUGCAAGAUCUUCUCAAUAUAAAAUUUUAAUCAUGCUGGAAGGAGAAAAAUCAGUAGAAAAAAAAAAAAAAAUACAAUUGGGCAGCAGACUUCCUUUAGAAAUCACAGGUUUCCUGUACGUGGGAAGGUUGAACUAAUUGCUCUGAUUGUGUGCUGCCGGUCCGUGAGUUGGCUGAUGGUUGUGCAUUUGUUUUGUUGCUGACUGUAUAGAUGAUGUGGCAGCUGAUGUAGAUUGGUUGUCAGAAAAUUGGUCUGGCCACCGUUUCAUCUUUUUCAUAUGUUCAUUGCAUUUAGAUUGCUGGUACUGCUAAUGAGGUGUUGACCAAAAUUGAUACUUUUGACAGUUAGGGUAAAAAUUAGGGCACAACUUUACACUUUUUCCCCCACGUUUCUUUCGCGGAAUUAUGUUCGAAAUUACCGGAGCAGUAGAGGACGGACGAAGAAGGAAGGUUCUAUCUGGGGAUCGUCUCCUUCCACUUCUUCAGUUCCACUCCCAUGGCGGUAACCCAAACCCUCUACUCCACAGUCUUCUCUUCGAGCAGUUUAGUUUCAGUGAAAUUUCCCAACUCUCGUCUCAACUAUGGGUGCAGACAUUUGCAAUCGACUGAAGCAAGUGAAAGAUGUGGCGCUUGCAGUAGUUCGGGUCCGGGUCCUCGCCUAACCCUAGAGACUGCUAGGCGCUACUAGCAUUUUUGUCCAAGAUGAAAGUAUAGCAACUUUCGGCGACGAUCAUAUUUGUGCUUGUCCUCCUUAUUUGUCACGGUGAGCUCCGUCCCCACAAUCAGAUUGUUCCAGAUAGUUGCCGGGUCUCAAAAUAAUAAAAUGUAGAACCAUGAUGCUUCCUACAGCCCCUGUUGAAGGGAAACGAGGGUGGGGUUGGGCCCCAUAAAGAUAGGCAAUAACGUUGCGGACCAAGUUUUCGUCCAUAUUAUUUAAAGUCUUUUUCAGAGGUCCUUUUCUAGCAUUGAUUUUCAGUAUUGGUGUUGGGGUGACCAAAACACCUUCAAGUAGUUCAUACAUGGUCUGGUAUGACUAUUAGUUUUUUUGGGCGAAUUGCUCGGUGAUGAUGAAGAUUAGUGGAGGCCAACGUUUAUGAAAGGGCUCACUCAUACAAAAGAGAGAUGGUUUCAGAAUGCUUUUGGUUGGUUGUUCAACCACACACGAGGCGGCGAACUUGGCUGCUACGUCUCAUGAUUUCACACCCUUGCCUAGCUUGCUUGGGAGUGAAUAGUCAAGUGUUGACUGGGUUCUUUGUGGCGUACGGCGCGUGAGCGGUGUUUCGGUUUGCCUAUGUCGGUAGGGUGGCUGCUUGAGCAUCAAACUAUAAAUUUGUUGUCUUGAUAUGUCGACUCUCUUUAAGUUUUGGUUGCCUCGAAUUAUAGACUAAUGGUUACCUAGGUAUGUUGCUUGUCCCUCUAAAUAUAGGACCGUUGGUUGCCUAGGUAUGUUGGUCGGUAUGUAGGUGACCUUAAAUAGUGGUUGCCUUGAAAUAAAGGACCAAUGAUUGCCUUGAUAUGUUGGUUGUUCCUAAGUAUUUGUUGCGAGUAAGUACCCUUUUCUAUAUAACCACUCAUCAAAGAAGCAUGGAGAAAGGAGUAAAGGUUGUAUCUUGAUAGCCAACUUCUCCAUUCUCCACAAUGGUAGGCCGAGGGGUAAGAUUUUAGCGAAGUGAGGGGCUUAUACAAGGUGAACCUCUCUCACCCUUUCUUUUUACUCUAAUAUGAUAUUCCUUUAGUCGCUCCAUUUAUUAUUACUGUGAAAAAAGAUUCUUAGGAAGUCCCUGGAUAGGCACUCAUAAGUUAGAGCUUACUCACUUACUGUCGGGUGAUUAUAUCUUGAUUUCUAUAGUUUUGAUGAUUCCAACUUGCGGAGAUGGUGGUCCUUUAUGUCCUUGUUCUUACUUGGGUUUGGUUCGUCACAACUGUGAGAAAACUACUUUGCUGGGGAUUUUUUUUUAUAAGAAACGUUAUAUAUAGACAAAAAGCAUAGAUCCUUCUAUCCCCAUUGACUUUACUAUUAGAGAUAAUAUCCCAGAUAAUAUCUUGGGAGGGUUAUUUUAAAAUCUUAAUUACAGGAAUGUCUUUAGGUUUCAAAAUUU